rnacentral:lncRNA from 10 species
AUUUUCUGACAUUUGAAAAGAUCUGAAGAUACGCCCCUUGGAUGCCUGCAGAGAAGCUCUGGGGCUUCAGUCAAUGACUCAGGGUAGCCACCGAACAUGAUGCUCGGGCAGUGGGUGCCACCUGGACUCCACUCUCCCCUCUCUCUGGGAUCAUAGAGUCCAAGGUGUUCUGUGGCCUCUCGGCCAAUCCCAGCAGCUCAGCGUGCAGAAGACCGAGGAGCCAUUGGAAAAGAAAAAGAGAACAUAUAUCCCCCUACCUUUUGAUUUCCAACAGUCUACUGAGAGGCCAAGAUUAUUUGCAGGGAAAGAAAAGGGGUCAAAAUGUUUUGCCAGUAACUCCCAAAUCAUCUACAGCCAAGGAGAAAAGUGUUUCAAGACAGAGGUGCUCAAUGGUAUCAAAUACUGCCAACAGACCAAGUAAUACAUGCAUUGAAGUGUCUACUGGAUCUAGCUAUAUGAAUUUUUAAUUUAGGACACUUAGGCCAUACUGAAGCAAGGUGACAAAAUGAAUAGCUACAAUGUCUCGUGAAUCUUGGGUUUCCAUUCACCCUGGUAUUCAAGAGAAAUUCUUGCAUCAUGGAAGUUGCAGUUGGAUAGGACUUUCUCAGCUGAACACUGUCAUCUGCCAGAGCUUCAGGCAAGAACCCAGAACAGAUGAAACCCCAGACAUGACAAAAUAAGCCAAAGAAUACCAGGCCAAGGUGUGAAAGGCCAGAUGAGAACAAGCAGCGUACACGAUUCUGUUGCCAACAGAUCUCCCCUAACAGUGUCGUGCACCAAAUUUCCACAGUGAAUGUCAGGAAAAAAUGGCAAUUGAGGUGGGUGGUCAAAAGAGAAGCACAGUCUAUGAUGAAGUCACCCCAGAGAAGUCCUUUUUCCGUUUUCUCCUGAGAAAUUACCAGAAGAAAUUAAAAUCCUUUUGAGUAUUGC